rnacentral:tRNA from 1 species
GCCUGGCUGGCUCCGUUGGUAGAGCGUGUGACUCUUGGUCUUGAGGUUGUGCGUUCAAGCCCCAUGUUGGGCA